GAUGAACGCUAGCUACAGGCUUAACACAUGCCAGUCGAGGGGAAACGCCAUCGAAAGCCUGCUUUUGAUGGGCGUCGACCGGCGCACGGGUGAGUAACGCGUAUCCCACCUGCCCCUCACUUGGGAAUAACCUUGCGAAAGUAAGACUAAUACCCAAUGACAUCCCACGAAGACAUCUGAAUGGGAUUAAAGAUUUAUCGGUGAUGGAUGGGGAUGCGUCUGAUUAGCUUGUUGGCGGGGUAACGGCCCACCAAGGCAACGAUCAGUAGGGGUUCUGAGAGGAAGGCACCCCACAUUGGAGAUGAGACACGGACCAAAAUCCUACGGGAGGGAGCAGUGAGGAAGAUUGGGCAAGGGGGGAGGGCCUGAACCAGCCAAGUAGCGGGCAGGAGGACGGCCCUAGGGGUUGUAAACUGCUGUUAUAAGGGAACAAAGUGGGUCUCGUGAGACUUUUUGCAUGUACCUUAUGAAUAAGGACCGGCUAAUUCCGUG
rnacentral:rRNA from 1 species